rnacentral:misc_RNA from 1 species
GUGAAUCAUCGAAUCUUUGAACGCAAAUUGCACUCUCUGCGGAUAGUAUGCCUGUUUGUGUUUCAGCCUAAAAAAAAUCGCCAUUGUUGCUGUUUCGCGGUGGCGUUCGUCGGAAAUUGGAUUAUCUUAAAUCUUUGUUUUAAUCGACGUAAAAUUUUCUUUACGAUUCCAUGAACGUUUUCAAGUUUUAUUUCUUUACACAUUUACGAUAUCGAAUUUAUGAAGCCUGUUCGUCAUAUUGGA